CGACCCCAUAUCAAGUGAGAACACCCACUUAGUUUAAGAAUAUAAUUAAACAGAGGAAAAGAAGCAUACAAGGAUUCCCCAAGUAACAACGAGCGAACCAAGAACAACCCAGCAUGAAAAUCAAGUGGUAAAAUCACCUGAAUUGUAUUCUAUAGAAGCGUCCUUAGCACCAGAAUGGUCCCAAGUCCCUUAGAAGGGGGAACUUUAUAGGGUGAAAAUCCUGUUGGGCUGGGACACUAUCGCACCACUAGGCGUUGUCGAUGAGUUAUAUUUUUUUGGAAUGUAGCCCUAAUUGGGUGGUAAAUUCUAUACAAGAAUAUGGGUGAGAGACCGAUAGCGAACAAGUACCACAAGGGAAAUAUGAGAAUGAAUUUGAAAAGAGAGUUAAAGAGUGCCUGGAAUUGUUGGGAGGGAAAUAGAUGGAGGCCGACGAUGUGUCUCGGUUAGAUGUGGAAUGAAUCAAGUUGGUCCGUUGCUCGACUCAAGGUGAGAAAUAGCACAUGCCAUUGCAUCGACACAAGCGAGGGUGGAGUACUUCCUAUUGGUUUUUCGUUGUGGUAGUCGAGGAACGAAGCAUGCACCCUUGGGGCGAGCCAGUAUGCACCUUCAUGCUCAUGGUAUUGGUUGGUGGGAUCUCCAUUCAACUCGUCUUGAAAGACGAACCAAGGAGUGUAACAUGUGUGCAAGUCGGUGGGUUUGUAAACCUGCAAGAUGUAAGGAAGAUGACAGGAAAGAUCCCCUCUCCAUGGGGUGCAUUGUCGACUGACCUUGAUCUUGUGUGAAGGGUUCGAGUGCGAGAACACCUUUUGGGACCUGAAAGAUGGUGAACUAUGCCUGAGUAGGGUGAAGCCAAAGGAAACUCUAGCGGAGGCCCAUAUAAAUAUUAACAUGCAAAUCAUUCAUUUGACUUGGGUAUAGGGGUGAAAGACUAAUAGAACCAUAUAGUAGUUGUUUUCCUUCGAAGUUUCCCUCAGGAUAGAUGGAUCUCACAUACGAGUUUUAUCAGGUAAAGAAAAUGAUUAGUGGCAUUGGGGGCGUAACACCCUCAACCUAUUCUGAAACUUUAAAUUGGUAAGACAGUGCGAUUGCUCCAUUGAGCCAUGCCACAAAAUCAAGAGCUCCAAGUGGGCCAUUUUUGGUAAGAAGAACUGGCCUUGUGGGUGAACUGAAAUUCGAGUUACAGUGCCAAACUGCACACUAAACUAGAUCCCACAAAGGUUUUUGGUUUAUUAAGACAAUAGGAGGGUGGUCAUGCAAGUCGAAAUCUGCUAAGGAGUGUGUAACAACUCACCUGACGAAUCAAAUAGCCCCAAAAAUGGAUGGCGCUGAAGCACGUGACCUAUACUUGAUCGUGGGAGAAAUUCUCAGGCUUCAAUGAGUAGGAGGACGUAGGGGGUUGUUGAGAAAACUUGGACAUGAUCUUGGGUGGACCGACCCCUGGUGUAGAUCUUGGUGGUAGUAGAAAAUAUUCAAAUGAGAACUUUGAAGACUUAAGUGGGGAUAGGUUCCACGUGAACAACACUUGGACAUGGUGUAGUCAAUCCUAAGAGAUGGGAAAAACUUGUAUCAAAGGUGCAAUUUCCACGAACAUCAAAAGGGAAUCAGGUUAAUAUUCCUGAAUCGGGACAUGGCAGUGAAUGACAACGUUAGGAAAUCCGAAGACCUCAUCGGGGGCCCUGGGAAGUGUUAUAUUUUAUUUUUACAUCUUUCCCACCCUCAAAUCGGCUCAAUCGGAGAUAGGGUCGAGAAACUAGAAGAGCAUCGCAUGUCUUGCAGUGUCCAGUGUGCCCUCAAUGGCCUUUAAAAAUAUGGAGGACUGAGUACCAUCCAUGCCCGGUCUUACUCAUAACCACAUCAUGUCUCCAAGGUGAACAAUCUCUGGUCAAUAGAACAAUGUAGGUAAGGGAAGUCGGCAAAAUGGAUCCGUAACUUUGGGAAAAGGAUUUCCUCUAACAGAUAGGCCUAAGGGUUUGUAUCCUCAAACCUUGGGAUAUCUACAAUAUGCCUGAGCUUUUAUCACAGCGAGGGAGGGCAUUUGCCUGUCGAUUGGGAUACAGACGUAUAAUGUCCCCUCGUAGGGACUUUUCCCUAGGUGGCGAACAAUCGACUCAAAACUGGUAUGGACAAGGGGAAUCCAACUAUUUAAUUAAAAAAAACCAUUGAGAUGGUCCCUGCGGAUGUUGAUGGAAUGUGAUUUCUACCUAGUUCUCUGAAUGUCAAAGUUAAUAAGUUCAACCAAGCGUGGGUAAAUUACGGGAAUUACUAUCACUCUCUUAAGAUAUCCAAAUGCCUCGUCCUAAAAUUAUUGACGUGCAUGAAUGGAUUAAGGAGAUUCCCACAAUCCCUAUAUACUAUCUAGACAAAUCAUAACUAAGGGAAUGGGCUUGGCAUAAUCAACGGGGAAAGAAGACCCUGUUGAGGUUGACUCUAGUUUGACUUUGUGAAAUGACUUGAGAGGUGUAGAAUAAGUAGGAGCCCUUUUUAGCGCAAGUUAAAUACCAAUACUUUUAAUGUUAUUUUACUUAUUCCAUGGGGAGGAGUUGGGGCAUUGCCCCUAUUGUUUUUCCUUAAGACACAUUUUUACGGGUCGAUUCGAGUAUAAGACAUUGUCAGGUGGGGAGUUUGGCUAGGGAGACACAUUUGUUAAAAGAUAACGUGGGUGUCCUAAGAUGAGAUCAACGAGAAAAAAAAUCUUGUGUGGAACAAAAUGGUAAAAUCUCAUUUGAUUUUGAUUUUUAGUACAAAUACAAACCAUGAAACUGUGGCCUAUCGAUCCUUUAUAAUUUUGAAAUUUGAAUCUAGAGGUGUCAGAAAAGUUACCACAGGGAUAACUAGCUUGUAGAAUCCAAGCGUUCAUAGUGAUGUUUCUUUUUUAUCCUUUGAUGUCGACUCUUCCUAUCAUUGUGAAGAAGAAAUCACCAUGUGUUGGAUUGUUCACCCACCAAUAGGGAACGUAAGUUGGGUUUAGAUCAUCGUGAGACAAGUUAGUUUUACCCUACUUGUGAACCGAACCUAAAUAGUAAUUCAACUUAGUACAACAGGAACCAUUGAUUCACACAAUUGGUCAUCGCGUUUGGUUGAAAAUCCAGUGGCGCGAAGCUACCAUGUGUUGGAUUAUGACUGAAUGGCUCUAACUCAGAAUCAAUGCUAGAAGCAGUUCUUGUCACUCAUCGACUGUAUAUUUAAUUACAAUAGGGAUGUCGCUUCGGCACCCUAGGGGCCCGUGUCACUUGCAAACCUUGGUCAGGAAGAGUCUCAGUCGGGGAAGUUUUUGUUAAUAUUAUGGUAGCUGCGGGAGGUAUUUACCCCCAUGUGU
rfam:Picea glauca, whole genome shotgun sequence.